rnacentral:rRNA from 1 species
AUUGAACGCUGGCGGCAGGCCUAACACAUGCAAGUCGAGCGGCAGCGGGAAAGUAGCUUGCUACUUUUGCCGGCGAGCGGCGGACGGGUGAGUAAUGCCUGGGGAUCUGCCCAGUCGAGGGGGAUAACUACUGGAAACGGUAGCUAAUACCGCAUACGUCCUACGGGGGAAAGCAGGGGACCUUCGGGCCCUGCGCGAGUGGAUGACCCCAGGUGGGAUUAGCUAGUUGGUGAGGUAAUGGCUCACCAAGGCGACGAUCGCUAGCUGGUCUGAGAGGAUGAUCAGCCACACUGGAACUGAGACACGGUCCAGACUCCUACGGGAGGCAGCAGUGGGGAAUAUUGCACAAUGGGGGAAACCCUGAUGCAGCCAUGCCGCGUGUGUGAAGAAGGCCUUCGGGUUGUAAAGCACUUUCAGCGAGGAGGAAAGGUUGGUAGCUAAUAACUGCCAGCUGUGACGUUACUCGCAGAAGAAGCACCGGCUAACUGCGUGCCAGCCGCCGCAGUAA